rnacentral:lncRNA from 1 species
AUCAGCUAUAUCCCAACAGGAGAGUGGGGACAAUUUUCUGAUGACUCAAGGCCCAGUGAAACAUAUUCUUCAGCCUGGUAAUGACUGACUUAUUACUAAAACCAGAAAAAUAUAUGCCAGGAUCCUCACACGGUAGACAUUGUAAUACAAUGUCCUCAGCAACAACCCUACAAUGGAUGUGGUGAUGAAGGCCAUAGAGAGUUUCCUCAAAAUAUUCAUCAAGGGCCACAAAGACCUUUACAGGAGGAGCAACAAAGUAUAGCUGCCUGAGACCAAAAUCUAUUCAAGCUUAAAAUGCAAGAGCAUUAGCUGCUCAGAGCCGUCACCAAGGAGAGAUAAAAUACGUCUGCUCUCUCAAGACCUGGGAGAUGCUAGCAGUGUGAUUGUUUUUUUGGCUGGGAAAGCUGCUUAGCCGACAGAAAAAGGAACGUACCUGAACAUUUAUGAGUUGGCUUUUCAAAGACAGCGACCCGUCUUCCUUUCACCCCACCCUCCUCCCCUUCCCUGUAAAGGAACACUUAGCAAAAGUAAAUAAAUUAUCAGCCCCGGCCAUGCAGAAAUGCCUCUCACAGGGUAAUGCAGGGAUGUCUGAAGCCAUAAAGGGAAUUUUCAGAGCUGAAGUCAUCAACACGGAAGAGGCAAGCAGGGGAGAGGCUGGAAGGAACAUGGAGCUGCCCUCUUCCCCUUGCUGGUCUGGGCUAUAAUGGAGAAGACCUGGGGCUGCUUUGUGCUGACCCAAAAAACAGUCUGGGCAGAGGGUGAUCAUCCCAGGCCGCUCAGAAUCCUGCGGUUGUUGAGCUCAAACAAAGCACUGUGGUUUAGACAGCCGGGCACUGGGUUUGGAGCCAGGAACCCUGGUUCUCAGGCCCUCCUCUGCCAUCCUCUUGCUGGCUGAUCUCCAGUCAGUGAGCUAUUCUGAACUUUGCUUUAUCUGGGAAAUAGAAAUGAUAACAUUUAUGUUUGCAAUGGACUGAACAGUGUCCCUCUCCACAAAUUCAGACAUUGAAACACUAACCCCUUGAGGGGCUGUAUUCGGAGAUGGGGCUUUCAGGAAGUAAUAACGGUUCAAUGAGGUCAGAAGGGUGGGGCCCCAUUCUGAUGGUACUGGUGGCCUUAUAAGAAGAGAAAGAGGGAAAGAUCUUUUGCUCUCUCUUCAUGAACUCAGAAGAAAGGCCAUGUGACGACACAAUGAGAAGGUGGCCUUCUAAGAGCCAGGAAGAGGGUCCUCACCAGGAGGCAAAUUGGCCAGCACCUUGAUCUUGGACUUCUAACCUGCAGAACUGGGAGAAAAUCAGCUUCUGCUGUUGAAGCCACCAGUCUGUGGUGCUCUGUUAUGGCAGCUCAGGCAGAUCAUACAAUCUCCUAACGUGCUCGAAAAAAACAGUCAGAGGAGGUAGGUGAGGGUCACUGCAAAGUCCUCACUCUUCACCAAAGUGAGACACCAUGAUGCCAUGCAGCCCGGCCUUCUCACUUAGUGCAUGAGGAUCUGAGGCCAAGAGGUGUUAGGGACUGAUACGGUUUGGCUGUGCCCCCACCCAAAUCUCAUCCUGUAACUCCCCUGAUUCCCACAUGUCACGGGAGAAACCUGGUGGGAGGUGAUUGAAUUAUGGGGGCCGGUCUUUCCUGCACUGUUCUUGUGAUAAUGAGUGAGUCUCAUGAGAUCUGAUGGUCUUAAAAAUGGAGUUUCUCUGCACAAGCUCUCUCUUUGCCUGCUGCCAUCCACAUAAGAUGUGACUUGUUCCUCCUUGCCUUCCAUCAUGAUUGUGAGGCCU